CACGUAGGGUGCGAGCGUUGUCCGGAAUUAUUGGACGUAAAGAGCUCGUAGGCGGUGUGUCGCGUCGGCCGUGAAAACUUGCAGCUUAACUGUGGGCGUGCGGUCGAUACGGGCAUCACUGGAGUUCGGCAGGGGAGACUGGAAUUCCUGGUGUAGCGGUGAAAUGCGCAGAUAUCAGGAGGAACACCGGUGGCGAAGGCGGGUCUCUGGGCCGAUACUGACGCUGAGGAGCGAAAGCGUGGGGAGCAAACAGG
rnacentral:rRNA from 1 species